AGUCUACCUGCCCACUGAAUUUAUUUAAAUGGCCGCAGUAUCCUAACUGUGCAAAGGUAGCAUAAUCAUUAGUCUUUUAAUUGAAGGCUGGUAUGAAUGGUUGGACGAGAUAUUAACUGUUUCAUAAAAAUUUAUAAUAGAAUUUUAUUUUUUAGUCAAAAAGCUAAAAUAAAAUUAAAAGACGAGAAGACCCUAUAAAUCUUUAUAUAUAAAUUAUUAGAAUUUUGUAGAUUUUUUUUAUUAUAAUAGUUGAUUAUAUUUUAUUGGGGUGAUAUUAAAAUUUAAUAAACUUUUAAUUGUUUAAAUCAUUAAUUUAUGAAUAAUUGAUCCGUUAAUAACGAUUAAAAAAAUAAGUUACUUUAGGGAUAACAGCGUAAUUUUUUUGGAGAGUUCAUAUCGAUAAAAAAGAUUGCGACCUCGAUGUUGGAUUAAGAUAUAAUUUUAGGUGUAGCCGCUUAAAUUUUAAGUCUGUUCGACUUUUAAAUUCUUACU
rnacentral:rRNA from 1 species